rnacentral:sRNA from 1 species
UUGAUAGCUCUAGAGAUGGUAGUCCUUGGCCAAAAAAAAGUAUAGUGUGGGGAGGGCAAGAGCAAGGUACCUAUAGCUGUGUUGUCAAGAUACCUCAAUCCUGUCUUAAAGGUCCCUUCUAGGAGGCUAUAGGGUAGUUCAGUCUCCAUCCCCAUUUGGUCCUUAGACCUG